rnacentral:rRNA from 1 species
UACGUAGGGUGCAAGCGUUAAUCGGAAUUACUGGGCGUAAAGCGUGCGCAGGCGGUUUUGUAAGUCUGACGUGAAAUCCCCGGGCUUAACCUGGGAAUUGCGUUGGAGACUGCAAGGCUGGAGCCUGGCAGAGGGGGGUAGAAUUCCACGUGUAGCAGUGAAAUGCGUAGAGAUGUGGAGGAACACCGAUGGCGUAGGCAGCCCCCUGGGUCAAGACUGACGCUCAUGCACGAAAGCGUGGGGAGCAAACAGG